rnacentral:rRNA from 1 species
UUUUUCAUUAAUAUUUUUGAUGCACGCAAGAAACAUGACACACGUGUGCCGUAAAUAUUGAACGCACGUGCGCGGUCAAUAUUAAACGUAGUUUCUUCUUUUUGACGUUUGCGAGAGUUGCAGCUUGUGGAUCGAUAUUGAUGCGUGUAGGGGCGGCGUUAUGAUGGGGGAGGCACCGCUUUCUGAAAUCGUUCGACGGAUGUGAAAACUCGUGACGACGUGGCGACGGAGAGGGAGGGGUGAAAACCGGGUAAACAUGGGAACGGUUGUUUAGGUGGAGAGAAAGUAGUAUGGUGAAGUAUCCAACGGUGACAAGGAAUGUACAGUAGAGUUUGUAGUAGAGCUAGGAGGGGCGAGCAUAAGUGACGAAGGGAUAAGAAACAAGUUGGAUGCAAUCAUACCAGCACUAAAGCACCGGAUCCCAUCAGAACUCCGAAGUUAGGCGUGCUUGGGCGAGAGUAGUACUAGGAUGGGUGACCUCCUGGGACGUCCUCGUGUUGCAUUCCC